UCUCCUCCCUCCUUCUCUUCUUCUCUUUCUCGGUCUCCCACUCUCCAUUUCUAUAUCAUAUUACUGAUACACGUCAUGUAGGAAGAAAGAUACGUGUCUGGUAUUUUCCUUCUCAUUGAUAUGCACCCGACCAUGGCUAUUUGUACUAAUUGUAUAAAUGAUUUAGAGUUUGGAAAGGGAACUUUGUCUCGAAACGGUUUUACAAAUAUCUUUUGACAGUCCGGAUGUGUGUUUUCCUUUGACCCUGCAAAAGAAUUGUAAAAGGAUGAGCAGUUUUGGAAAAUACCAAAGGCACGUCUAAGCACAGUAGAAUGUCCACAUAUCUCUUUAUCGCUAUAUAAUUCAUUUCGGUACCAUAUGACCUAAUGUUUUUCAUUUUCCUUCUACUCCGACCAGGCAAGCAACGGCAAUGCUGGACAGGCUACUCUCGCACCAGACUCCCUUUAGGGUAGUUACCCACGGGCACUCACCUCUGCCGUUUAUUAUUACUUGUGAUUCCGCUUGUUGUGACUGGCUUGAUCCAUGUUGCGGCCCAAUUAUUAUUUUUGUUUAGUUGCGAUGGAUCGUCUUGGCUUGCUUUUGGCACACCUGAUUCCACUACCUUCUGUUGUUGCUUGGACCAGUUUACUAUGUACUGAACAUAUUUA